GUAAUUAAAUUCAUUCAUUCAAUCUAUACUCAAUAUCUCUACAUUUACUUUUAUAGAUAGAGAACCGCUCAUAUAAUGGUACCUGUGAAAACUCUCUAGGCGGAUCAAAGCCUUAGCUCGUUUGAUUUUUGCUUGCAAGGUGCGGCGUGCCUAACUCUAUGAAAGAAGCUGCAAAAAUUCAACGAUUAUAAUGUAUUCGCUUAAGAUUUUGGCCUCUGCUUCCUCAGACUUCUCAUUUUUCAAGCGCACGAAACCUCUCUGAUCCAGAAACCCUAGGAUUAAUGUCAUUCUUAUACACCGGAUUUACAACAGUUCGAGAGGAAAUUACAGCAGCUUAAAGUUAUCAAUCAUGGACGCCUAAGCCUCUUUGCAGCCGUUCAUACUCGAGUGACAAUCUUUCAACAUUCUUGUUUUUACAUUCUUAGCAUAAUGGGAUGUUGAAGUUAAAACCUCUGGAACUUUUCCUUUGUAUUCGAGGUAUGCGCCUACAUAUUGGCUCAACAAGAAGGUAAGUAGAUUAAUGUCCACAUAUUCAGAACUGUGCUCAAGCAUAAAGUUUAUGUGGCAUCUGAUCUUUUGCAGGUAUAUGCCAAAUACCGAAGGACUUAGGAUGCACGUCAAAUGUUUUACAAAAUGUCUAGGGGAGAUGAGAGCCAACGGAAUGUAAUGGUCUGUAGGGUGCACAGGUGCACCCAACAAAGGAAUAAUGCGUCUGAGGAUCUCUAGGUGGAGCUUUAACUAGUAGGCUACCAUCAGCAGGGAAGCUCUCAAUAUCCUCUGCGGGAUAACACCCAAACCAAAUUCGUGAGCCAAAUGAUCUUUUGCAAGAUUGGGCUUGCAAUAGCUAAAAUAAUGGAUUGGAUUGAGCGAAAUGAUAGAUGUUGUGUGGUUUGGAGAAAAUUUAUAGCAUUCUCUUUUCCAGAACUGGAAACAAAGGGAAAAUGGCCAGAAGAUCACACAUUUAUUCUUGAAAGCCUGUUACAAACAAACGAAAAGUAGAAACAAUUUUUUUUUACCAAUAAUAAAAUGUUGUCUUACCCAUUUUAGACGCCUCCUUCAGCUGUCGCAGUCUCUCUACAGUCUACAGCUGCUGUUUCAAUCUAUUGCCAAGAAAACAAAAGUGGAUCUAAAAUUUUUGGGGUUAAGCUACUAGAUUCUUGAGCUCGACCCAAGAUUUUUGCAGCCUGUUAAAUGACAAUAUUGAAUGCAAGUUAAAAUUUGUUUUCAUUGCCAUUCCUAUUUCUUGACAUAUAUGCAAGAAUGUGGAAACCUAGACAAGGCAUGUGGACUGUUUGCAUGUUUGGGCUGGGAGUGCUUUUAAUGCCUAGAGGAGGGAAAAAAAACAACCAAAUUAAUUGUCUCGUGAAACGAGAAUGGUAGCCAGCCAGUGAAGCAGUCCUUGGAGGGAUGUGCAUUCUCUUGCAUCGAAUACCUACAAACAAUUCCUGACAUUCUGCAACCGAAAACAGAGGUCAAUAACACUGUGCCAAAAAACUUUGAACUAAUAUUUGCCUAAAAAAUAUGCAGCUUCACUGAUGCAAGUAGCAAUGGAAAACAAAUCUUUAAAAAGGCUGAAUUCUGAUUGGCCGUUCAUGUGUAGUUUAAUCUGCCUCCCUCCGCUAUAGUUCCAUGGCAGGAACUAAUAAGCUGAUGCUGAUGUCAAAUAUUGAGGAAUGGGAUAGCGAGGCUGAAAGAAAGGACAAAUUUUUCUAUAUUUGAUGAUGCUUUUGCUAGUAACAGUGACAUGGCUUCCACUUUUCUAGAGUUUCAUAGCUAGUAUAUGUGAAUUCAAAGGUGAAAAUUUUGUAUCCUAAGGGAGCAAGUAUUUUAUUUCUUCAUUUGUUGAAUCAAAGUAACUUAGAUUCAGACUCGUCAUUCAUAAGAUGAUUUUAUGAUGGCUUAAUUAUAGACUUUAAAUGUGGCUUCCUAACUUUAAUCUUAAUUACAUAAAAAUUCACAAAUAAUUCUCACAGUUUCAUUUUAGCUUGGAAAGUACCCGACCAUUUUCAAUGUCUUUCAGCUUUCACAAAGUUCGCUUCAAGGAAAUGAUUACAUUUCUCACACAUUUUUGUUGUGGGUGCUUUUCCAUUUUCAUAUGCUUGCUUGUAUUAAACUAUAUUUGAAUCUAAUAAGAAAUAUUGAAUUUUUGGGUUUAAAGUCUUAUUGUAUGUAUCAUUAUCUCUUAAAUCUUUCAAAUAUUGAUUAUAUUUUUGUCUAUAAAUAUAGAUGAUUAUGUCUGCAGUUUUAUAUUUGAAAUUUAUGAAGAAAUGUUGAAUUUUUUCGUCUAAAUCUUAUGCCAUUUAUUGCAAUCUCUUAAAGCUUCUAAAUAUUUGCUAUUUUUUUAAAUCUAAGAAAUUGUGAAUUUUGACAAAAUGAGAUUAUGAUUGGUAUUGUUAACUCUUUUGAUACCAAAUAUAAAAAAUGAUUAUGGUUACUAUGUGAAUGUAAAUGUGGACCAGGAGCUUCCAACUUCAGUCACUCUGUCCUUAAAGUAUGGAGCUUGCGUGCAAAAAUUUGAUUAUGAGUCUAUGUUGGUUGUUUGUAUAAAGUGCCACAAGUCUAGUCACUUUGUUGUUGUUUUCCGCCAAUAGUAGGGCACAUAAUUCCUAGAAAAAGAAUGGAAGAUAUAGGCAACCUUAGGAUGAACAAGCUUAUGUUGUUAAUUGGCUUUCAAUGGGAAGGAUUUUAUCUAGUCGAAAAUUGGCUACUCUAGUCGUUAACUCUUUGAUGGAGGUGGGUGUGGAGAUGCCUUAUACCAACAAUUUUACCUUAUCUUUGCAUGCCAUCUCUAGCCAAGGGAAAAAGAAAAAUACAAAAUGGUGCCCAAGUGAUCUUUUGGCUCAAGGUUUCUUUAUUCAAAAUUUCUAAAAAUAAUUUCCAUUUCUUCCCUACAAUUGAAAUUAUAUCAAAAUAAAAUAAAAAUUGUAAUGAAAUCUGUAUUUCAAUAAAAUAUUUGUAAUAAGUGAAAAAUAUAUAAUUGUGUAACCAUUUAAAGUGGGUUAAUUGAAAUAGGAUGCCAAGGAAACACAAAUGCAACAUAUAAUUUGUACUGUAGCCACAUUUAAGAAGCCAUAAAAUCCUUCUCCAUUAAAAUUUAAACAAAGCAGAGUAACACAUAAUAAUAGUAUAUACAAAAAAAUGCUUGAAAUUGGGAAGAAAUAAGAAAUUUUACGGCUCUUGGGACUCCACCACAACGUCAAGCUCUUACGAGAGGCUGAAAUGACGAAGUUGGUGGCGUAAACCCUAGUGUUCUUGUUGACAAGGUCUAUGAGAUGAUCCACUAAGUUCUCAAGGGGACCUUUUCCAAUGACAAGUGGCUUACACGAAGAAGUUGAACAUAGAGAACAUGGUGAGGCACUAGUUCUUUAGCUCCUCGAUGUUCAACUCAACAAAAGCCUCCUUGAGUUGAUUAUGACACCUCUAGCAUUGCGAAGACAACAUUUUAGUAGCUUCUAGAAAGAACAUGCAUUUUGAGUUUUUUCCCUCAUAUUUCUUUCAAGAAUGGAUUGCAUGCAUUUUUGCCCUUGUUUGUUCUUAGAGGGAGAAAUGUUGUUUGUUGACCUUACGUUAUUUUUGUAUUUGCAAUCGAACAUCCAUUAUUUGUUUUUGGUAACCAUAGGGGUAUCUCUAUGACCCAGCCUAGCACCCAACCUGUUGGGGAUAAAGAAGGGGCGAGUUGGGGUGAGACUAAUCCCUUGGGGAUGUACCAAGCCACCUGCAAGCCAGGUGCAUCGGGUGCGUCCAAGCCUUGAAGUUAAACCCAAGACCAAUGGGGAGCAAACCCACGACUCAAGCCAACUUUGCUAUCUGUGUGGGCAACAUCCAUUAUUGACAUAAGAAAUUAUAUAUUGGGAGAGGGGCUACAUGGUCUCUCUUAUUCUCCCAGUUCUUUCACAAUUUUCUAUAUGGAGUUUAAUCUUUCUUAGUUUGUUUAAGUAGGAUUACCUAGUCUUGCUAUUUUCAUCAUCUCUCUUGGGGAAAUUUUAUCUUAUGGCUUUUCUUUAUCUUUUUUUUUGAGGGGAUUAUUUUGUACAUGGGUAUCUAUCAUGGCUACACAUUUGUUGGGAUUCAAUUAUUUAUUUUUCCUACCAAAUUAAGCUCCACUUAUGUUGGGGUGUUGGUUUGCAUUUAGUUGAUUAUUUUAUUGCAUUAUAUGCACCUAAGAUAUAAUAAGCUUGUUUAUGUAAGUCGGUUGUAAUUGUGACUUGUACUUCCCUCGUGUAGUGGAAUUGUACUCUACAUGUCACUAAAUCUUUCCUUAUUCAACAUUGGUUGUACAUUCACAUAUUUUAGUGGUGUACCAUAUAUAUACUCACUUGUAACUCUUAUAUGAGCAAUCUCUGUAUAUCAUUUUUUCAUAUUGCAUCCUUGAAUAUAAUAGCAUUAAUUUUAUCCUUCUGAUCAUUUGAUUUUUUUGUGUUUGCCUUCAAUUUUUCUUGAUAUUAGAUGGCUAUCUCCAUAGCCAAAUCUUAGAUCCACCACAUAUAUGUGGACUUCAAGAAUGUUUCCAAAUUGGAGAAAUAAAUAUUUAAUGUCCAUGAAUGAUAAAAAAACUAAGUGAAACAUUUCAAAUUUGAUAUUGUUCGACUCAAAAUGAGAUAGGUGGUUACACCAAUAAGAAAUCAUCAUGGUAUUUGCAUGUUUGUUGCUUCCUCUACUUAUUAGUCAUCGUAUUCAAUCCAAUCAUUGUGCCAUUCAUGAGUUUAUCAUGGUACAUAGAGCAAUAGCCACAUUAUUUUGUAAUUUUUUUUGCAAUGAAUGGGUGUUGAUCACCUAUAGAAAAUAAUGAUCUUUGCUAAGAGAGAAAAAAUAUAAAAUUUUAUCACCUACACUUUGAUUCAAUUCUUCCUUGCAAUAUUUCAGACCAUUACAAAACAUGAAACCAACUGAAAUAUACUCUUGCCAACAAAAACUAUCAAACUCAAGCUCAACACUUUGUUCUAGGCUUCAAGUCUACACAAAUUGAACAUGAACACAUAGCCCUAGCUUUAAUAAUCUACAUUUAGAAUCACUUGAACCCUAACCAACAAUAAGCUACUCAUUUAUUUAACAACCUUUCCCUUAUCACUAUGUUAACAAUAUUAAAAAAAAUAAAAAAUUCCUACCUUGAAAUUUAUAAUAUGACAUACAUCAAUCGAGAUAUUGAUCACACAGUCAAACAUUUUAAAGGUCUCCUAUACAAGAAGUGAUGAGGAAGAACCAUUUAGUACAUAAAUGUGCACUUCAAAUACAAUUCAACUAGAAUGAUUAAUAACGAAGACUCAAAUGCCCAAAACAACUCAACAUUCUAAAUAUCCCAAAACUAAAAAAUUAAAUCACAUUGCACCGUCAUCUAACCACCACACAUUGAUAACUCAAUUCCUCAAAAUAUUAAAAAAUAGAUGUUGCCCAAAUUUACCUUUUUGUACAUUUUGACCUUACUAGAAUGAUUAAUAACGAAGACUCAAAUGCCCAAAACAACUCAACAUUCUAAAUAUCCCAAAACUAAAAAAUUAAAUCACAUUGCACCGUCAUCUAACCACCACACAUUGAUAACUCAAUUCCUCAAAAUAUUAAAAAAUAGAUGUUACCCAAAUUUACCUUUUUGUACAUUUUGACCUUACUAGUCACACAUUGAAUUCUUAUACAUGCCAAUGGCUACCACCUUGAAGGGCUACCACCUUGAAGGGCUACCUUACUCAAGAUGCAUUGUAGAUCAAAAACCUAAUACAUUUCCUACCUUAAGAGAUUUAAGGUGUAGAAAUGCAAUUACAAACUAUGUGAAAUCCAAACAUAUAUUUAAAUAUGCAAAUAUUCCUAUUUUACAAAUUAAUAUUAUAAUUUAUCUUCAUACACAUUACUUUAUAGACAAGUAUACAUACAUUUUCUUAAAAAUAGAACUUUACAUUAUUUUAUUUUAAAACAUACACAAUCUUGCACAUAAUCCAUUUCAAUUUAGAACUUAAUUAAUUCAAUAGUUAUUAUUCUCAAACCCUAAUUUGCCGAUAGGCAAUUCCCUGUGGGGUUGCACCCCCACCGGAAUUGUCUCACACCGUGAAAAACGUCAAUUUCCCUUUGCCGCCGAAAUUUCCGUCACUUUCUCGCUGCCGCUGAAAUUUUAUCCGAUAAGUUUUCUGUGACAGCUCCCACAACGUGUGGUUAGGGUUUUUAUUCCAGGUGUAGUGGACAUUGAUGUGGUUACCUGCAUGCUGGUCGCGUUUUCAUUCCGAAGUGUAUCGCUGGCAAAGACCGCCUGAACCCAUCUACCGAUGAAUGAACAGAGAUGACUCCCAGGAAUUUAUGUUUAUAUUCUUGCAUCCGAUUUUUGGCAGAUUCAGUUCAGCUCUUCUUUUGCUUGAGCUGUGUUUCUUCUUAUAGGUUGAACAGCUAGCGUUUAACCUACCUUACCUCGUCGAGGAGCCAUUCUGAAACGUUCCUACUCAAACCCAGCUUCUAACUAUCUCCGGGUGGGUGUUCAUUCGGAAUAAAGUCCACCACAGCGUCGGGUUGCAGCAUUAAUAGUCUCGCCAUAGUUAAAAUUAUUGCUUUCCGUUGGUUAAUAUCCAAAAGCGAUGCAACAAAGUGAGGGGCAAGGAAUGAGCCUGGUAGCUGCCAUGUUUUAGGUUGAAGGUGUAGCACAACUUGAUGGCCGUAAACCUUGCAUUUGGGAUACUUAUACGCAUUCGGGUUAGUUACUUUUUGGAGGAGAAAAGGAAAUAUAGAAUUUGGAUGGGCGCAUUGAUCAUUUUGACAAAUAAAAGGGCUAAGUUAAAAGUGCAUGUACAGGGAAAAUGUUUGAUGGAAGCACAGGGGAUGUUACUGCAGAUCAAUACCACCAUUAUAAAUUAAUCUCGAUUACUCUUAUGCUUAAUUGGUUCUGGACCGCUGGUAAUUUUAAAUAAACUAUAUUCAUCAGCUUUAAGUUUGCUUACACGACUGCUGCAAACAAUUUUUCAGGAGGACGUCCGUCUGAUGUUUAAACUGGGAUUGGAUACAUACAGAUUUUCCAUCUCAUGGUCUCGACUAAUACCUGAUGGAAGGGGUGCCAUCAAUCCAAAGGGAUUGGAAUACUACAAUAAUCUCAUCAAUGGACUCAUUCUCGAUGGAUAAAGAAACUCAGAGGACUCUUGAUUUUCACAAUGGGUGGUUCAUAGAUCCCCUUUUCUUUGGAGACUAUCCUUCCAGCACGAAGAAGAAUGUAGGCUCCAGGCUGCCCAAUUUCACCAAAGAACAAUCUAAAAAGCUAAAGGGAUCUUUUGAUUUCGUUGGGUUGAAUCAUUACGGUACUUCCUAUGUUUCAGAUUCAUCUAGCCAGUGGAUUGCUGUUGAAAGAGAUUAUAUGAGAGAUUCAAGCUCAAAGCAAACAGUAAUGCGAGACGAACGAUGUCCCUAUUGGUAAGGUGCAGGCAUCCCCCAUAUUUUAACCAUACAAGUCCUUAUCACUCUAUUCACCUAACCUAAACUUAAGUUCUUUUUGUCUUUUAUUCGAUUAGGCUAAUAAUAGCUUAUGUUGUCUCUUCAUUAUGAAUGUGACACAUGGGGUUGAGAAUGGGAAUAGGAAUGUAUUUUCUAAUUUCUAGUGGAUUUGUUUCUUGCUAAGGGGAGAAAUGUUGUUUGAAGGCAAUGAAUCUUGAUUUGUCUUCAGGGUCUCAUCAUUGGCACAUGAGUUUCUUCUUCAUUGGGGGGAUUCUUAUCCUCAUUUUCUCUCUCUUAUAGGGGGACAUUUAUUGUACUAUUGUGAUGUUAGGGUAAAAGUACAAACUUGUGUCACUUUUAUAAAGGAAAAGGUUAACAACAACAAAACAGUUCAAUUUCAAUAGCACAAAAGUGAUAUUUCUAUUUGGUAUUUGAAGAUGAUGUAAACAGAUCAAAUGUGUAAAACUGAAUGAAGUUUAUGCCUAUU